rnacentral:rRNA from 1 species
GAUGAACGCUGGCGGCGUGCCUAAUACAUGCAAGUCGAGCGAACAGACGAGGAGCUUGCUCCUCUGACGUUAGCGGCGGACGGGUGAGUAACACGUGGAUAACCUACCUAUAAGACUGGGAUAACUUCGGGAAACCGGCGCUAAUACCGGAUAAUAUAUUGAACCGCAUGGUUCAAUAGUGAAAGACGGUUUUGCUGUCACUUAUAGAUGGAUCCGCGCCGCAUUAGCUAGUUGGUAAGGUAACGGCUUACCAAGGCAACGAUGCGUAGCCGACCUGAGAGGGUGAUCGGCCACACGGGAACUGAGACACGGUCCAGACUCCUACGGGAGGCAGCAGUAGGGAAUCUUCCGCAAUGGGCGAAAGCCUGACGGAGCAACGCCGCGUGAGUGAUGAAGGUCUUCGGAUCGUAAAACUCUGUUAUUAGGGAAGAACAAAUGUGUAAGUAACUAUGCACGUCUUGACGGUACCUAAUCAGAAAGCCACGGCUAACUACGUG